ACGUAUAUGUAUAAUUUUAGUAAGUUUAUGUUCUGUAAUUGUGUUAUUAUUAUUUUUAUGUCUUAUCUUUUUGUGUAAUUAUGUGAAUAAUACGCAACUUUCGCUCAUAUCGUACUGUUCUGGCUGCCCGUUCGACACACACACGGUUCGCGAAUUUUACGUUCCGGUAAAAAGUUUUUGUUGUUUUUGCGUGCCAUAUCGAACAGUGGCUCCGACGGACUCUAGGCUCCUAGGACAAGGGCUUCGAUAGGCAUCACAGCAAUCCGUAGCAAAUAAUACGUGCCUACGUCUAACAACCGUAUUAAUUCGGAAACGUCUCGUCCGUAACAUU